rnacentral:rRNA from 1 species
CCUACGGGAGGCAGCAGUGGGGAAUUUUGGACAAUGGGGGCAACCCUGAUCCAGCCAUGCCGCGUGCGGGAAGAAGGCCUUCGGGUUGUAAACCGCUUUUGUCAGGGAAGAAAUCCUUUGAACUAAUACUUCGGAGGGAUGACGGUACCUGAAGAAUAAGCACCGGCUAACUACGUGCCAGCAGCCGCGGUAAUACGUAGGGUGCAAGCGUUAAUCGGAAUUACUGGGCGUAAAGCGUGCGCAGGCGGUUAUGCAAGACAGAUGUGAAAUCCCCGGGCUCAACCUGGGAACUGCAUUUGUGACUGCAUAGCUAGAGUACGGUAGAGGGGGAUGGAAUUCCACGUGUAGCAGUGAAAUGCGUAGAUAUGUGGAGGAACACCGAUGGCGAAGGCAAUCCCCUGGACCUGUACUGACGCUCAUGCACGAAAGCGUGGGGAGCAAACAGGAUUAGAUACCCUGGUAGUCCACGCCCUAAACGAUGUCAACUGGUUGUUGGGAGGGUUUCUUCUCAGUAACGUAGCUAACGCGUGAAGUUGACCGCCUGGGGAUACGGCCGCAAGGUUGAACUCAAUGAAUUGACGGCUGAGAGNGCGAGACGACGACGAGGGAGGAGG